rnacentral:rRNA from 1 species
CCAGAGCCUGAAUCAGUGUGUGUGUUAGUGGAAGCGUCUGGAAAGGCGCGCGAUACAGGGUGACAGCCCCGUACACAAAAAUGCACAUGCUGUGAGCUCGAUGAGUAGGGCGGGACACGUGGUAUCCUGUCUGAAUAUGGGGGGACCAUCCUCCAAGGCUAAAUACUCCUGACUGACCGAUAGUGAACCAGUACCGUGAGGGAAAGGCGAAAAGAACCCCGGCGAGGGGAGUGAAAAAGAACCUGAAACCGUGUACGUACAAGCAGUGGGAGCACAGAGCAAUCUGUGUGACUGCGUACCUUUUGUAUAAUGGGUCAGCGACUUAUAUUCUGUAGCAAGGUUAACCGAAUAGGGGAGCC